AUGGAUAGGAGUGAAGUACCGGUUCACACAGAGCUCGUCGACACUUUUGCAAUUGCAAAAAAUAGCCUCCCAAUUAUUUCUGGAGAUCGAGCCUUUACUUGCUACAACUCACAAUGCAUAUCUAAAAAAACAUGGAACAUUAUAAACAAAGAAGGUAUCAUCCAUUCGGUACUUUAUACUCAAAGUGAGGAUGAUCCAGUUGUGCUCACUGGUUGGUUGGAGAAAUUAUAG